rnacentral:rRNA from 1 species
AUUGAACGCUGGCGGCAGGCCUAACACAUGCAAGUCGAGCGGUAACACAGAGAGCUUGCUCUCGGGUGACGAGCGGCGGACGGGUGAGUAAUGUCUGGGAAACUGCCUGAUGGAGGGGGAUAACUACUGGAAACGGUAGCUAAUACCGCAUAACGUCGCAAGACCAAAGAGGGGGACCUUCGGGCCUCUUGCCAUCAGAUGUGCCCAGAUGGGAUUAGCUAGUAGGUGGGGUAACGGCUCACCUAGGCGACGAUCCCUAGCUGGUCUGAGAGGAUGACCAGCCACACUGGAACUGAGACACGGUCCAGACUCCUACGGGAGGCAGCAGUGGGGAAUAUUGCACAAUGGGCGCAAGCCUGAUGCAGCCAUGCCGCGUGUAUGAAGAAGGCCUUCGGGUUGUAAAGUACUUUCAGCGGGGAGGAAGGCGAUAAGGUUAAUAACCUUGUCGAUUGACGUUACCCGCAGAGGAAGCACCGGCUAACUCCGUGCCAGCAGCCGCGGUAAUACGGAGGGUGCAAGCGUUAAUCGGAAUUACUGGGCGUAAAGCGCACGCAGGCGGUCUGUCAAGUCGGAUGUGAAAUCCCCGGGCUCAACCUGGGAACUGCAUUCGAAACUGGCAGGCUAGAGUCUUGUAGAGGGGGGUAGAAUUCCAGGUGUAGCGGUGAAAUGCGUAGAGAUCUGGAGGAAUACCGGUGGCGAAGGCGGCCCCCUGGACAAAGACUGACGCUCAGGUGCGAAAGCGUGGGGAGCAAACAGGAUUAGAUACCCUGGUAGUCCACGCCGUAAACGAUGUCGACUUGGAGGUUGUGCCCUUGAGGCGUGGCUUCCGGAGCUAACGCGUUAAGUCGACCGCCUGGGGAGUACGGCCGCAAGGUUAAAACUCAAAUGAAUUGACGGGGGCCCGCACAAGCGGUGGAGCAUGUGGUUUAAUUCGAUGCAACGCGAAGAACCUUACCUACUCUUGACAUCCAGAGAACUUAGCAGAGAUGCUUUGGUGCCUUCGGGAACUCUGAGACAGGUGCUGCAUGGCUGUCGUCAGCUCGUGUUGUGAAAUGUUGGGUUAAGUCCCGCAACGAGCGCAACCCUUAUCCUUUGUUGCCAGCGGUCCGGCCGGGAACUCAAAGGAGACUGCCAGUGAUAAACUGGAGGAAGGUGGGGAUGACGUCAAGUCAUCAUGGCCCUUACGAGUAGGGCUACACACGUGCUACAAUGGCGCAUACAAAGAGAAGCGAACUCGCGAGAGCAAGCGGACCUCAUAAAGUGCGUCGUAGUCCGGAUUGGAGUCUGCAACUCGACUCCAUGAAGUCGGAAUCGCUAGUAAUCGUAGAUCAGAAUGCUACGGUGAAUACGUUCCCGGGCCUUGUACACACCGCCCGUCACACCAUGGGAGUGGGUUGCAAAAGAAGUAGGUAGCUUAACCUUCGGGAGGGCGCUUACCACUUUGUGAUUCAUGACUGGGGUG